CUUUACUGUAGCCUGGUAUUGGGUUCGGGCUUUGACUGCGCAGGAUAGGUGGGAGACUGAGAAGUGUGCCUUGUGGGGCACAUGGAGUCAACGGUGAGAUACCACUCUGUCAGAGCUAGAAUUCUAACCUUCACCCGUAAUCCGGGGAAGGAACCGUAUCAGGUGGGCAGUUUGACUGGGGCGGUCGCCUCCUAAAAGGUAACGGAGGCGCGCAAAGGUGUUCUCAGGCUGGUUGGAAAUCAGCCGUAGAGUGUAAAGGCAGAAGAACGCUUGACUGUGAGAGUGACAACUCAAGCAGGGUGGAAACACGGCCUUAGUGAUCCGACGGUAUGCGCAUGGAAGUGGCGUAGCUCAACGGAUAAAAGUUA
rnacentral:rRNA from 1 species